UACGUUGGUGGCAAGCGUUGUCCGGAUUUAUUGGGUUUAAAGGGUGCGUAGGUGGUCUAUUAAGUCAGUGCUGAAAUAUCCCGGCUUAACCGGGAGGGUGGCAUUGAUACUGAUGGACUUGAGUAAAGUUGAGGUUGGCGGAAUUGACGGUGUAGCGGUGAAAUGCUUAGAUAUCGUCAAGAACACCUAUUGCGAAGGCAGCUAACUAAGCUUUAACUGACACUGAUGCACGAAAGUGUGGGGAUCAAACAGG
rnacentral:rRNA from 1 species